rnacentral:lncRNA from 1 species
UAACUUGUUCUCCAAGUAACUACUCCCAAAAUUGUUAAAACUUACAUUAAAGUCCUAUUUGAAAUGUCUUGGAAGGUUCUUUUAGCUAUACAAUGCCUACACUAUCCUUACCCCUGUUUUAAAUUUACUAUUUUAAAAGAUUCUUCCAUUUCCUAUGCCUAUAAAGCCCUUGUAUUGAUAUGAAAUUUACAGAUUAAAGUCGGCUAUACCCAACCUCUAAGGUUAACCCUAGUGAAUCUAUAUCAGCUAGAACCAAUCAAUAAACAAAAAUUUAACUCUAAUUAAAACUAAUUUACACAAUCAUUGGAUUAAUGGCUAACAAACAGAAUCAAUAACUAAAUCAAUCCAAAUCAGCUCCAGAAGAACAAAAUAGAUCCAAACCAAUAUGAAUAAAUUAAAAUAAAUUUAAACUAUGUACUACUGGACUAAAAAAAACCUCUAUCAAACAUAUUAAUCUAACUACUAUAAACAGGGUCGAAUUCCCAAACCAAUCUCACAUAAGUCGACCAAAGAGAAAACUUGAUUAUAGUGACGACCAGCCAUCAAAACAGAAAUCAACAAAGAGAAAUGAAAAUUAACCCUAAAAAAUUAUUCAAAAUUCUCAGACAAACCUAGAUUAAUCUGGUAAUUACAAUAGUGCUAAAUCGACUAGUCAGAACGAUGAAUCAGAUUAAAAACUAAAGAAUAGAAAGAUAGGAAAACUUACUGAAAUUCGAACUUUGUGCGAAAACCCUUCGAAAUUAAACUCAGGUUAAUAUUAUACAUUCAUUUUAUAAGAAAUAAACGUAUAACAUUGACCCGGGUUCACUCGACUCGCAUAAAUCCUCGAACAGCCCAGAACGCAUGAACCCUAGAUGUGACAUUGGAGGCGUCCUGUUGAGAUUCGAAGAGAAACAGCCCCAGACUCGAGAUGGGGAAGGUCUAUAGACUAUCAGGUAUUAAUUUGAGCUUGUUUGGAUGAAGUUCAUGUUUGACCGAAAAAAUAAAACCAUAGAUUCGAGGAGUUGAACUAUGAUUCGAGGUUGUGAGUUCGAGUCUCCCUAAGAGCGAGGUGGGAAGUUAUUGGAGGGAAGGAUGCCGGGGGUCUAUUUGGAAACAGCCUCUCUACCCAAACUGGUAAUUACAAUAGUGCUAAAUUGACUAGUCAGAACGAUGAAUCAGAUUAAAAACUAAAGAAAAGAAAGAUAGGAAAACUUACUGAAAUUCGAACUUCGUGAGAAAACCCUUCGAAAUUAAACUCAGGUUAAUAUUAUACAUUCAUUUUAUAAGAAAUAAACGUAUAAUAUUGACCGGGUUCACUCGACUCGCAAAAAUACUCGACUAGCCAGGAACGCAUGAACCAGAUGUGAGAUUUGAGGCGUCCUAUUGAGAUUCAAAGAGAAACAGCCCCAGACUCGAGAUGGGGAAGGUCUAUAGACGUUCAGGUAUUAAUUUAAGCUUGUUUGGAUGAAGUUCAUGUUUGACCGAAUAAAUAAAACCAUAGAUUUGAGGAGUUGAACUAUGAUUCGAGGGAUUUUAAGUGGGGAUUAGUGAUGAGGGAGAAGAGGGGAAGCUGUGGUGUAAUUUUUGUUGGGUUUGGGGGUAGCGGCACCACCGGCGGCUUAGGAAUUUGAGGCGGCGUCUCUAGGGGUUUCUGAGGGGUGAGGAAGACGAUGAGGAAUGGGGAUGGGGGUGGGGGGUCGUUCGGAUAGUUUUAUAGGGGAAAUCCUAGGACGCCCUUGUUCGUUGGAUCAAGAUCUAACAGAUUCGAUUAGCUGAGCAAAACGGCAUCGUUUGGUUAGAGUGGGGGGACCAGGUUUGGGUGCAUUUGGGCUUGGAGCAGCCUGGGCUCGAUUUGUGUAUUUUUGGGCUGGGGAAUCUGACCCAAUUGGCCCUCUCUUCUCUUUCUUUUAAAUUAACUUCUUUUUAUUUCCUUUUUCUUGAUUUUUCACUUUAUAUAUUUUUUCAAAUUUUCUGAUUUUUAUAAACAAUACACAAAAUAAGGAUAAAGAUCUAAUUAUUUCCAAAAGGAAAACUAAUUAAUUCCUAAAAUUGUUUAAAAAUCUAUUUCACGAUUAACUAAACAAUUAACAACUAAAGCGCAAAAAUGACUAUUUUUGUGAUUUUCAUGUUUUGUUCUAAACAAACUAACCCCUAAUUAAUCAUGAAAUACAAAAUUAAAUUCUAAAUACAAAAUGUAUAUUUUUUGUAUUUUCUUUUAUAAAUUAUCAAUCCAAAAUUUAUAAUUUUCCCAUUAGAGAUCCUCCACCUUAGUCCAGUAAUUAAUAGAUCUCUUCCCCACAAAAUACUUCUCCAGAUCCAUGAUCCUGUAGAUGUAGUAGAAGCGUCAAUGAAAGUUGAGCGUGGAAAGUUUUUACUUUUAAGUACCCUUGUUAACAACGAAUCCGGGUACGACAAUCAAUAAGGUUAACCAACCUCUAAGGUUAACCCUAGUGAAUCUAUAUCAGCUAGAACCAAUCAAUAAACAAAAUUUUAACUCUAAUUAAAAUUAAUUGACAUUAUCAUUGGAUUAAUGGCUAACAAAUAGAAUCAAUAACUAAAUCAAUCCAAAUCAGCUCCAGAAGAACAAAACAGAUCCAAACCAAUAUGAAUAAAUUAAAAGAAAUUUAAACUAUGUACUGCUGGACUAAAAAAAGCUCUAUCAAACAUACUAAUCUAACUACUAUAAACAGGGUCGAAUUCCUAAACCAAUCUCACAUGAGCAGACCAAAUAAAAACUUGAUUAUACUGACGACCAACCAUCAAAACAGAAAUCAACAAAGAGAAAUGAAAAUAAACCCUAAAAAAUUAUUCAAAAUUCUCAGACAAACCUAUAUUAAACUGGUAAUUACAAUAGUGCUAAAUUGACUAGUCAGAACGAUGAAUCAGAUUAAAAACUAAAGAAAAGAAAGAUAGGAAAACUUACUGAAAUUCGAACUUCGUGAGAAAACCCUUCGAAAUUAAACUCAGGUUAAUAUUAUACAUUCAUUUUAUAAGAAAUAAACGUAUAAUAUUGACCGGGUUCACUCGACUCGCAAAAAUACUCGACUAGCCAGGAACGCAUGAACCAGAUGUGAGAUUUGAGGCGUCCUAUUGAGAUUCAAAGAGAAACAGCCCCAGACUCGAGAUGGGGAAGGUCUAUAGACGUUCAGGUAUUAAUUUAAGCUUGUUUGGAUGAAGUUCAUGUUUGACCGAAUAAAUAAAACCAUAGAUUUGAGGAGUUGAACUAUGAUUCGAGGGAUUUCAAGUGGGAAUUAGUGAUGAGGGAGAAGAGGGGAAGCUGUGGUGUAAUUUUUGUUGGGUUUGGGGGUAGCGCCGCCACCGGCGGCUUAGGAAUCUGAGGAGGCGUCUCUAGGGUUUUCUGAGGGGUGAGGAAGACGGUGAGG